UUGAGGUAGAGAUCUUUCUACUGACCAUGCUACAGCAGUGAGCAGCAGAGGUGGGGAGAGGCGGGGCUAUUGUGUCAUCUUUAUCAGGAAAUUAUCAUAUAGGACGUAGACACGGAGCCGUUUGGCCCCCUAGAGCGUUGCGUCAGCAGAUCUACCCACCUUGGGACCCGUU